rnacentral:lncRNA from 1 species
AUGCACGAGUUGUACACAAAGCCUUGGGGCGCGCAGAUACGCACACGCAGGUCCACGCUGUUGUACCCAAAGUUGCGCGCAGAAAGCCCCAGCAUGCCGCCUGCCCACCGCGCCCGCGCCCGCGCCCGCCGGCCCGCAGUCCACACCCCCCUGCUCCUGCCCUUGACCACAGAUGCGGGCCGGGCCAGGCCGGAUAGGACUGGGCAGAGGCCCAGGGAGGCCAGGUCCCCUGGCCGCUUGUCCUUUGGCGGGCCGCGAGGUCAGGCUAGCUGUCCUUCGCCGCCACUCCCCGCCCUCGGCCCUCGGCCUCCAGCCGCCCCCCGCAGUCCCCUCUCAGCGUGCGUACCUGUGCCGGGCCUCCCUUCCUGCCUCCCCACGCGGGGGCGAAGGGAGCCCGGCGGGCGAGGGUGCGUCCUCCCGGGUGCUUGCCUGCCUCCCUGCAGCCAGCGUCCGCCUGCCGGGGUCUCUCCUGCGGCGCAGCCCGGAGGGCGCGGGCCUGGCCGCCUCUGCCUCGCCCUCCCUGGCUCCCGCCCCCUUCCCGGCCCGGCCCGGCCCGGAGCCGCUCCCGAGGCGCACGUACCUGCUUGCGCCGCUCGGAGCCGUACGGCGGCGGUGGCGGCCGCUGUGGGGGGGGUGGGGGGGUUCCGGGGACAGAGGGACGGGAAAGGGGCGGGGGCCGGGGAUCGCCGAGCGCUGCGGAGCGAGCUCCGCCCGCGGCCGGCGAGGACGCCCGGAGAGUUAGCAAGGAGAGGGACGGGGAGGCGGGAGAUGGGCUGGGGUGAGGGUGCGGGGGCUCCAAUCCAUCGUCCUCCCCUCCCCUCCAGGCAGAUCCGGAUCGCCAGUGCCUGGGCUUUGGGAACUGGGGCUUUGAGCCCGCGGUCCCCGGGCUUAGGAGCGGGGCGGGGAGGGGGGGGGUGCAGGAGAAGACCCCUCCCCCGCCGCCUGCUUCUCUCCACACCGCCGGAAAGCCCCUAUGGCGCCAAGCCCAAGUGCCUUCCCCCCACCCUCACUCUCCCACUUCCCCUUUCCCCACCCCCCACCCCACACACAGCCCCGAGGUAG